UAUUGUUAUGAGUUUUAUCUAGUUGUUAUAAGUUUAGUUAUUUUUUAUAGUUAUGAGUUUUAGUUAUUUGCUUUAGUUGAGAUUUUUAGUUAUUUGUUAUGAUAGUUAUGAAUUUAUGUUAAUUAUUAUUGUUCUGAGUUUUAUUUGUUAUUGCAUUUAUUCCAAGGAAUAUGUCUAAUGUUCAUUGUUGUGUUGUGCAUUAGUAUCAACAUUAGACAUGUUGGAUAAUGAGGAAACAGUGUGUUUCACCCAAAAACAUCCAUCUUAUUGAGGGCCUUAAUACAGUAAAACUUGGUUUUAAAGAAGUCGCUGGAACCUAGCUAUGAUAUAAAUAUUUCGCUAUAUGCAUUAUUUGUUAUAUUCUUGAAAUGAUUUCACAAAAUUUUUAUAGCUAGGGAUUCAUGAUAAUUUCACUAUAUCUGUGAAUUCACAAUAUCUGUGUUUGUACCAAACAAGUUUUACUGAAUCUAUUAUUUUAGCUCUAUUUUAAAAUUUUGUUAGUAUUUUAUAGUUGGACACUGUUCACUAAAGAUGAAGAGAAAUAAGCCAAAUUCUAAACCAUCAUCGAUAAGCAGAUGCACCCUACUCUCCUUGGUGGAAACAGAAGAUGCACUCCACUGGCCUUGAUGGAAACAGCAGAUGUAUCCUACUGACCAUGUUGGAGACAGCAAAUGGACCCAACAAGACAUGAUGGAAACAGUAGAUGCACUCCUCGGACUUGAUGGAUACAGAAGAUGGACCCAACAGGUGGAUACAACUGGAGGAGACUUGCCUGAUGAUGUUGACCUUCCAAACAAGACAUAUCAAAGGAGAUAAUUGACACUGAUCAGCUCCACUGGUCAGAGACGAAAAAGUUUGCAAUUGUAAACAAGCUAGGGCAUGACAUGGUUGAAACAGCUGGAGGAGGCAGGGCCAAUGGAUGCUAAUCUUCCAAGAUGUUGAAACAGCAGAUGACUUCAACAAGACCUGUGUAACAGCAGCUGCACCCAACUGGACACUGAUAGAAACAACUGGAUGAUGCAUAGCCAGUAUUUGCUGAUCUUCCAAGAUGUGGAAACAGCAAAUGCACCCAACAGUACAUGGUGAAAACAGCAGAUGAACCUAAAAGGACCUGAUAGAAACAACUGGAGGAUGAAUAGCCAAAUGAUGCUGAUAUGAAAUUUAUCAGCUGCAUGCAGCCAACAGAACCUUGUGGAAACUGCUGGAGUGUAGACAAGCUUGAUGAACCUCUUUUAAGAUGGGAAAACAGCAAAUACUUCUAAAAGGACUUAAUGAAAUAAAUCUCGAGGAGGCAAGGCCAUUAUGAAUCUUGAGGCAAACUUGAUGGACAAUGAUUUUCCAAUAUGUAUAAACACCUGGGCUACACCAAAAUGGAAUUGGCAGAAAGAAGGGAAAACAUCAAAAACUUCCAAAAAGACUUAGUGAAAUAAAUCUUGAGCAGACAAGGCCAUUAUGAAUCUUGAGGCAAACUUGAUGGACAGUGAUUUUCCAAUAUGUGAAAACACCUGGGCUACACCAAAAAGGAAUUGGCGGAAAGAAGGGAAAACAUCAAAUACUUCCAAAAAGACUUAGUGAAAUAAAUCUUGAGCAGACAAGGCCAUUAUGAAUCUUGAGGCAAACUUGAUGGACAAUGAUUUUCCAAUAUGUGAAAACACCUGGGCUACACCAAAAAGGAAUUGGCGGAAAGAAGGGAAAACAUCAAAUACUUCCAAAACGACUUAGUGAAAUAAAUCUUGAGCAGACAAGGCCAUUAUGAAUCUUGAGGCAGACUUGAUGGACAGUGAUUUUCCAAUAUGUGAAAACACCAGCUACACCCAAAAGGAAUUGGUGGAAACAAUAAACACAGACAAGCUUGAUGGACAAUGAUCUUCAAAAUGUAGAUGUUCCCAACAAGACUUGGUGGAAACACCUGGAGGACAAUUUAUUUCUGAUGGAUGUAGACUUUUCCACCCAGACAUACCAUAGUGGAUAACUGAUACUGAUCAGAAAAUCAAAGAAACUUUUAGAAGGAACAUCCUUGAGAUCAUUUGUGUGGAUGAAGAAGCAGGACUUAAUUAAUGCAGGAUUAAUCCACAUCUUCAAAGCACUGAUGUAAAUCCAUUUUAUUAACAAUGUUUUUUUCAAAGACUUUUUUAAAAAUAUAAAUUUUUGUAAAGGGUGUCCGAAUAUGUCAGGGUAUGGGGUCGCCCAUUCGGACACGUGGGUUCUCUACGGGUACUCCGUCUUCCUCCCACACUGACCCCCUGCUUUUCUUUUUCUUCUUCAUUAGCUAAUUAUAUUCAUAUUGUUAAGAUGAAGUAGUUGAAGGCUAGUUGUAAGUAGGUUUUUACGAUACCCUGGGGCAUUACUGGCUGGAACUUAAGUUCCUUCGCCGCCACGGUUGCCAGGCUGGCCCGGGGAGGAGAAGCUGAAAGGGACUAGUUGGAGGCUGCUUUGUCUUUAAUUAUCUUUUUAUUUUUAUGCCAAUGAGAUAACAGUUUGUUAUUGUAAUUGUUUUGAUGAAGUUAAAUAUGUUCCAGAUGUAAUGAUUGUUAAAUAUGACAUAAGUAUUCAUAGAAUGUGUAAAUUCUGUCAGCUGUUGUAGAAAGAAUAAUUUGUAAAGUCACCUUUUCUUUAUUAUAGUUUAUUGUGAAAUUGAAUCCCUCAAUAAGUCAAUAUUCUGCUGUGACUAGAUAUUCAGAAAGAAAUAUAUAUAAUAUUGUAUUUGAAAGUGUAAUAUAGUGAUUUGUCUCUAAAUGUUAAAUUGUGAUAUAUUUUAAUGCAGUUGUGAAUUGUUGAUGUGUCAAAUUGUGAAUUUUAGUAUGGAAUUUUGAAUUGUAAAUGUAAAAUUAUUUUAAUCUCAUUGGCAAGUUUUGUGCUGAAAAAAAAAGAAAAAAGAAUGAAAGAAAAAAAAACAAGCAAAAAAAAAAAAAGAAAGAAAAAAGAAAAAAAACAAGCAAAAAAAAAAAAAAAAAAAAAAAGGAAAAAUAUAUAUAUAAGUGAAAAAAAAAAUAAAAGAGAAAAAAAAAAAACAAAACAAAAAACAAAAAAAAAAAAACAACAGAAAAAAUGAGAUAGAAAGAAAAUAACUGAAAAAAGGCACAAAACUUUUAA